GACGAACGCUGGCGGCGUGCCUAAUACAUGCAAGUCGAGCGAGCUUGCCUAGAUGAUUUUAGUGCUUGCACUAAAUGAAACUAGAUACAAGCGAGCGGCGGACGGGUGAGUAACACGUAGGUAACCUGCCCCGGAGCGGGGGAUAACAUUUGGAAACAGAUGCUAAUACCGCAUAACAAUAAAAGCCGCAUGGCUUUUAUUGAAAGAUGGCUUUGGCUAUCACUCUGGGAUGGACCUGCGGUGCAUUAGCUAGUUGGUAAGGUAACGGCUUACCAAGGCGAUGAUGCAUAGCCGAGUUGAGAGACUGAUCGGCCACAAUGGAACUGAGACACGGUCCAU
rnacentral:rRNA from 1 species